UACGUAGGGUGCAAGCGUUGUCCGGAAUUAUUGGGCGUAAAGGGCGCGUAGGCGGCCCUUCAAGUGACGGGUGAAAGCCCUCGGCUUAACCGAGGAACUGCCUGUCAGACUGGAUGGCUUGAGACCGGGAGAGGGGAGUGGAAUUCCCAGUGUAGCGGUGAAAUGCGUAGAUAUUGGGAGGAACACCAGUGGCGAAGGCGGCUCACUGGACCGGAACUGACGCUGAGGCGCGAAAGCAUGGGGAGCGAACAGG
rnacentral:rRNA from 1 species